AAAGACCAAACAAGGUAGUAAUAUAUUGUUCUAAAACCAAUAUAGCUUGGCGGCAUUUACACUUAUUAGAGGAACAUGUUUCAUAAUCGAAAACACACGAUAAACCCUACUAUCAUUCCAUCUCUUGCAUACCACCGUUAAUAAGAAUUAAUUUAAAACAUUAAAUUCAAAAAAGACCACUAAUAAAUCAGGUAAAGGUGCAGAACAUAAUAUAGAUAAAAAUGUGUUACAUUCAAACAAAAUUACCUAAGUUCAUACAAUUAAAACCUCAUGUAAAUAAGGAUUUAAAAGUAUUAAAAGAAAAUUAAACUUUUAAAAAUAAACAAAAAAAUGUGC
rnacentral:rRNA from 1 species